rnacentral:rRNA from 1 species
CAGACAGCCAGGAUGUUGGCUUAGAAGCAGCCAUCAUUUAAAGAAAGCGUAAUAGCUCACUGGUCGAGUCGGCCUGCGCGGAAGAUGUAACGGGGCUAAACCAUGCACCGAAGCUGCGGCAGCGACGCUGAUGCGUUGUUGGGUAGGGGAGCGUUCUGUAAGCCUGUGAAGGUGGCCUGUGAGGGUUGCUGGAGGUAUCAGAAGUGCGAAUGCUGACAUAAGUAACGAUAAAGCGGGUGAAAAGCCCGCUCGCCGGAAGACCAAGGGUUCCUGUCCAACGUUAAUCGGGGCAGGGUGAGUCGACCCCUAAGGCGAGGCCGAAAGGCGUAGUCGAUGGGAAACGGGUUAAUAUUCCCGUACUUGGUGUUACUGCGAAGGGGGGACGGAGAAGGCUAUGUUGGCCGGGCGACGGUUGUCCCGGUUUAAGCGUGUAGGUGUGUGUUCCAGGUAAAUCCGGUUCACUUUAACACUGAGGCGUGACGACGAGGCACUACGGUGCUGAAGCAACAAAUGCCCUGCUUCCAGGAAAAGCCUCUAAGCAUCAGGUAACAUCAAAUCGUACCCCAAACCGACACAGGUGGUCAGGUAGAGAAUACCAAGGCGCUUGAGAGAACUCGGGUGAAGGAACUAGGCAAAAUGGUGCCGUAACUUCGGGAGAAGGCACGCUGACACGUAGGUGAAGUGAUUUACUCAUGGAGCUGAAGUCAGUCGAAGAUACCAGCUGGCUGCAACUGUUUAUUAAAAACACAGCACUGUGCAAACACGAAAGUGGACGUAUACGGUGUGACGCCUGCCCGGUGCCGGAAGGUUAAUUGAUGGGGUCAGCGCAAGCGAAGCUCCUGAUCGAAGCCCCGGUAAACGGCGGCCGUAACUAUAACGGUCCUAAGGUAGCGAAAUUCCUUGUCGGGUAAGUUCCGACCUGCACGAAUGGCGUAAUGAUGGCCAGGCUGUCUCCACCCGAGACUCAGUGAAAUUGAACUCGCUGUGAAGAUGCAGUGUACCCGCGGCAAGACGGAAAGACCCCGUGAACCUUUACUAUAGCUUGACACUGAACAUUGAGCCUUGAUGUGUAGGAUAGGUGGGAGGCUUUGAAGUGU